UUCCCCCUCUGCUUUGCCGGCGAGAAAAAAAAAAGAACGAGAGAAACGAAGAAGAAAGAGAAAGAGGAAAGAGAAAAAAUAAUAAGAGUAUUUUGGUCAGUUUGCUGAAAAGUCGGACCGAAUCUGCAAAAACGAAAAAGAUGGCCCGGUUUUGCAAAAGCCCAAAAUAAGUGGAUUUUUUAUGCAAAUUGGCCUUUAUUUUUUAAUAGAAAGUAAGUAAAAUUAUAUUUUUAUCCUCACAAAUAUAUUUCUCCAGAAAACCCUACUAAUAGAAUUAUACAAAAAAAUCCUCCCAAGGAUCCCAACAGUCAUUAUCUUUCUUUCUAUUAUCACAAAUAAUAAAAAAGAGGUGAAAAGAUCAAUUUACCUUAUUCGCUAACCAGAGUUAAGUAUUUUACCUAUGAUUAGCUAUAUUUUUCUAGCAGAUCCUAACAACGAGAAUUUUAUUAAAAAUGUUAGAAUUUUUACAAGAAUAAAUAUGAAAAGUUAAAGUUUGUAAAAGUGUAUGCAUUAUUCGAUAUAUUUAUAGAAAGCUGUAUGCAAUAAAUCCUUAUAUAGGUUUUUUAUACUUAACAUUCUUCUACAAUUUACUAAAAAAGAUCCAUUUACUUGUCUAGCCUCUUUAUAAAAAAAAAAAUUCCCUAUCUAGCUUCAUUUUGA
rnacentral:lncRNA from 1 species